GGGAGCAAGACUCCUUCUUGGCAGCUUCCAGCUCAGCCUGACUCUCCUGGUACUUCUGCUUCCACUCAGCCACAACCUGGAGUGACAGGAACCAUCAGAACAUAAGAGUGGCCCAUUCUUCAACACUCCUGUCCCUGCACAUAUAUGUAACAAGAACCUUAGAGGCAUGUCGUUGGGUCACAAAAUCUUCUUCAUUGCACAUUCACUGCCUUUGACAAUCAGUUCACUGGGAUACAUACUUCAUCUGUUUCAAGGGCAGCUACUUAUCCUCUCAGACAACAGGAGUGUAUGCCCCCAGGCUCACAGAAGGUCAGGCAGGCCAUCUCCAGCAGCAAACAAGAUGGAAGGAACCUUGGGAUGAGUAAUGUCACUGAAGGGAGCUGUCUUCCUGCGUCUCCAUUUGGAAGGUGAUUUCUACCCUGAUGAUGAGAAAAUGUCACUUUCUUUUGUUUUCUUAGAAAGCUUGCAGGUCAUCCAGUGUCUGCUGGUGCGCCUCCUGUAAGGCCUUUUUCUCCUUGGCAAUGACUACAUUUAAGAAACAAUAUGGGUUCUGAUGAAUCAACAAAUCUCUGAUUAAAGAGGGAGAAGACUAGAGAGACCUAAGAGAGUAUUUAUGAUGACAUUCCCUCAAAUUCCACUGAAUUAGUCUUUUUCAAAGGAUGUGUCUCCAUGAUGUCAUCAGAUUUGUCACCUGAGUUUUGGGUUUAGUGAAUCCUUAAAUUAUUAGACUAAUAACUGAA